AAGACUAUACUUUCAGGGAUCAUUGUGGUUCGUUACUAGAGAAGUUCCUCUGAUCUGUAGAGCACCUGAAACCACGGGGAGGAGCCAGAGCAUCCUCUCCUGAGCGGGAAGCCCGUACUUGGUGUUGCUUUUGCAACUGCCUUUAUUUACCAUUGAUGAUGGUCCUUCUCUUCCCUUGGAAGAGGGAAAGGUGAGGACGACGUCUGAGUGGU